GAUAGGUUGCAGCUGGAUUCAACUUCAGAACCUAUUCUGUUUGUAAGUUGGCAGCUGCCUGUAUGUAUUUGUGAGUGGUGGAACAAAGAGAAGAGCCCUCUCAAAAGAUCCCACAAACAAACAAAUGUGAGCAGGAAGGUGAUUCUCAUGAGAAGGAAUGUGAUUCUUCAAAUAAUUUCAACCUGCAGAGGAAAGGCAGGACCUAUGAGGCUUCUGUCUCAGGAUGGAUAACAUUGGCACGAGUGCCAACUUCAGAUAUUCUUCUACUAAAAAAAAAGGAAUGUCUAAGAUUAUUUGGUACAUGAAUAGAAAGAUGAAAAAUCUUGAUGGAGAAGAAGUCAUUAUGGAUUCUAGGUUGUGGAUUUACACGCUCAGGCUCAGUCCACAGAAGAUAAGUACUACUGCCAACAGACAACACACAUCUGAAAGUGCAACAUAUUCUGGAUGAGGUAUCUUUUCCACUGAAGGACCAGGCAUGCAGUUUGAUAUCCUCUUGGUUUGUGUACUGUGCCUCAAAGAGCAGGUGACCUCAAUAGCCAAGACUGCUUUUGUUCAUCCCUUCCUGGGAAUGGCAGAUCAUGCUAUAAUGACCCAUGCACCUUGUAUUUAUAUUACUAUAAUACAACCUACAUAGGACAAAUGAAAGAACAUAGCCAUUUUGGAGAAGAAAGUGACAUCCAGAAAUAGACUCAUGUUGUCUUUGUGGAACUGAAGGAACAGUGGUUGUACUCUCAAAGCAGACAAUUCAUCGGUCUCCUGGCAGAGAUCAUGGCCACCAUGGAACACAAUCUUUAUGAAAGGAGGCACAAAUCACAUGAUGUUCAGAUAUUCAAUCAAGAUAAGAGAGAUAAGAGUUCAAGAAAGAAAGGUAUCUGUCAAACCUUCAAAGAAAGUUCAACUAAAGGGUGAAGAAACUAAGAGAAAAAUGAAGGCCAAGAGAGCCGCCAUGUAGACUCACAUUAAAAAGUCAGAGAGGCCUGAGAUGCCAAGGUGAACAUUAACGUGGUGAAUGGAGACCCAGUGACAGUCCACAUGAAUAUUACAGAAAAGAGAGAAGAAAUGCUUCCACUAUAACAGUAUGACUUCCUAGUUGACUCUCUAUACACAAAGUAACGGAUGGAUAUUGCCUACAGAGGAAUAUCCUCCAAGCUGACAAAUAUGAAGAUCUGAGUGUCAAACUUGGCCUUUGGCUGAGGUUGUCUGUCUGGGGAAAGCUUAUUUCUGCAUGAAAUACACCUCUUAAAAUAUACUGUAGGUACCAUAAACCAAGGAAGGAAAUUGAGGUCAAAUGCUAAAGAAGAGUAACUUGCUAAUGUACAAUGUUCCCAACAAUUUCAAUGGCAAAGGCAGAUGAGCAGAAAUCAUACUAAGUAUAUGCAGUAUAGAAGGGGAAAGGACUGUUAGCCAAAGAGAUCUACCUCUAGAAGUUUCUGAAAAUGGCCUGCAUGGGUGCAGAAAACCCCAUAUAUGAGAAUCACAGAGACUACAAAGAAGAACUUAUGUUCAUUGUCCUCAACUUUAUUUUCUUCAGCAGUUGAAGCCCUAGAGAGACAGGAAGCUGGUAGAUUAUUGAGUAGCAACACUUUGUUAUAUAACUCCCAUUACUAAGAAGGCUAAACUAGCCUCCUAUUUAUUAUCUUAUAGACAACUGGUAGAGAUAGCAUUGUUGGGUUUUGUUAAUGCUGCUAUCUGAUUUUACUAUUAUUAACCAUUGGCUUUAUUACAUGAAAAUUGUUCAACUUCUUG